rnacentral:rRNA from 1 species
AUUGAACGCUGGCGGCAGGCCUAACACAUGCAAGUCGAGCGAGCGGCGGGCGGGUGAGUAAUGUAUGGGGAUCUGCCCGAUAGAGGGGGAUAACUACUGGAAACGGUAGCUAAUACCCCAUACUAUCGGAUGAACCCAUAUGGGAUUAGCUAGUGGGUGAGGUAAUGGCUCACCUAGGCGACGAUCCCUAGCUGGUCUGAGAGGAUGAUCAGCCAGCCUGGGAUUGAGAAACGGCCCAGAAUCCUAGGGGAGGCAGCAGUGGGGAAUAUUGCACAAUGGGCGCAAGCCUGAUGCAGCCAUGCCGCGUGUAUGAAGAAGGCCUGCGGGUUGUAAAGUACUUUCAGCGGGGAGGCGUUACCCGCAGAAGAAGCACCGGCUAACUCCGUGCCAGCAGCCGCGGUAAUUC